rnacentral:rRNA from 1 species
GAUGAACGCUGGCGGCGUGCCUAAUACAUGCAAGUCGAGCGAACAGACGAGGCGCUUGCUCCUCUGACGUUUGCGGCGCACGGGUGAGUAACACGUGGAUAACCUACCUAUAAGACUGGGAUAAUUUCGGGAAACCGGAGCUAAUCCCGGAUAAUAUAUUGAACCGCAUGGUUCAAUAGUGAAAGACGGCUUUGCUGUAACUUAUAGCUGGAUCUGCGCCGCAUUAGCUAGUUGGUAAGGUAACGGCUUACCAAGGCAAGGAUGCGUAGCCGACGUGGGAGGGGGGUAGGCCACACGGGAGCGGAGACAGCGUCCAUGCUCCUGCGGGAGGGAGCAGUAGGGUAUCUGCCGCAGUGGGCGAAAGCCUGGCGGAGCGACGCGGCGUGAGUGAUGAAGGUCUUCGGAUCGUAAAACUCUGUUAUUAGGGAAGAACAAAUGUGUAAGUAGCUAUGCACGGCUUGACGGUACCGAGUCAGAAAGCCACGGCUAACUACGUG